rnacentral:rRNA from 1 species
UACGGAGGGUGCAAGCGUUAUCCGGAUUCACUGGGUUUAAAGGGUGCGUAGGUGGGCAGGUAAGUCAGUGGUGAAAUCUCCGGGCUUAACCCGGAAACUGCCAUUGAUACUAUUUGUCUUGAAUAUCGUGGAGGUCAGCGGAAUAUGUCAUGUAGCGGUGAAAUGCUUAGAUAUGACAUAGAACACCAAUUGCGAAGGCAGCUCGCUACUCAAUUAUUGACUCUGAGGCACGAAAGCGUGGGGAUCAAACAGG